UACGAAGGGGGCUAGCGUUGUUCGGAAUCACUGGGCGUAAAGGGCGCGUAGGCGGCCGCUCAAGUCGGGGGUGAAAGCCUGUGGCUUAACCACAGAAUUGCCUUCGAUACUGUUUGGCUUGAGACCGGAAGAGGUGAGUGGAACUGCGAGUGUAGAGGUGAAAUUCGUAGAUAUUCGGAAGAACACCAGUGGCGAAGGCGACUUACUGGACGAUUGUUGACGCUGAGGUGCGAAAGCGUGGGGAGCAAACAGG
rnacentral:rRNA from 1 species